rnacentral:rRNA from 1 species
GACGAACGCUGGCGGCGUGCCUAACACAUGCAAGUCGAGCGAGAAUCUUAAGACGGAUCCCUUCGGGGUGAAGACUUAAGAGGAAAGCGGCGGACGGGUGAGUAACGCGUGAGUAACCUGCCCAUAAGAGUGGGAUAAUCCAUGGAAACGUGGACUAAUACCGCAUAUUGAGCAUUUACCGCAUGAUAGAUGUUUGAAAGAUUUAUCGCUUAUGGAUGGACUCGCGUCAGAUUAGAUAGUUGGUGAGGUAACGGCUCACCAAGUCGACGAUCUGUAGCCGAACUGAGAGGUUGAUCGGCCACAUUGGGACUGAGACACGGCCCAGACUCCUACGGGAGGCAGCAGUGGGGAAUAUUGCGCAAUGGGGGAAACCCUGACGCAGCAACGCCGCGUGAAGGAAGAAGGCCUUCGGGUUGUAAACGUUCUAGUCGCAAGGGAAGAAGACAGUGACGGUACC